GACGAACGCUGGCGGCGUGCUUAACACAUGCAAGUCGAACGGAAAGGCCCGGAGUUUGUGGGGUGCUCGAGUGGCGAACGGGUGAGUAACACGUGAGUAACCUGCCCUUGACUUUGGGAUAACUUCAGGAAACUGGGGCUAAUACCGGAUAGGAGCUACUGAUGCAUGGUGGGGGUUGGAGAGUGUCGGCCGUUGGGGCUGUACUCGCUGCUUAUCAGCUUGUUGGUGGGGUAGUGGCUUACCAAGGCUUUGACGGGUAGCCGGCCUGGGAGGGUGACCGGCCACCUUGGGCCUGCGGUACGGCCCAGACUCCUACGGGCGGCAGCAGUGGGGAAUAUUGCACAAUGGGCGGAAGUCUGAUGCAGCAACGCCGCGUGCGGGAUGACGGCCUUCGGGUUGUAAACCGCUUUCGCCUGUGCCGAAGCGUGAGUGACGGUAACGGGUCAAGAAGCACCGGCUAACUACGUG
rnacentral:rRNA from 1 species